UACGUAGGGGGCAAGCGUUGUCCGGAGUUAUUGGGCGUAAAGAGCGUGUAGGCGGCUUGGUAGGUCCGCUGUGAAAACUCGAGGCUCAACCUCGAGAUGUCGGCGGAAACCGCUUGGCUAGAGUCCGGAAGAAGAGAGUGGAAUUCCCGGUGUAGCGGUGAAAUGCGCAGAUAUCGGGAAGAACACCUAUGGCGAAGGCAGCUCUCUGGGACGGUACUGACGCUGAGACGCGAAAGCGUGGGGAGCGAACAGG
rnacentral:rRNA from 1 species